rnacentral:rRNA from 1 species
CCCUUAGAUGUCCUGGGCUGCACGCGCGCUACACUGAUGUAUUCAACAAGUGUUACCUUGCCCGAGAGGCCUAGGAAAUCUUUUAAAAGUGCAUCGUGAUAGGAAUAGAUUAUUGCAAUUUUUAAUCUUGAACGAGGAAUUCCUAGUAAACGCAGAUCAUCAAUCUGCAUUGAUUACGUCCCUGCCCUUUGUACACACCGCCCGUCGCACCUACCGAUUGAAUGGUCCGGUGAAGCCUCGGGAUUGUAGCAAUCUACCUUUAUUGGUGGUUUGUUGCAAGAACUUGUCUAAACCUUAUCAUUUAGAGGAAGGUGAAGUCGUAACA